CGCAGGAGAGAUGCGUCCUCGCCUUGUCCUCUCGGCUCCCAAAUGCAUUUGUAUGCAUUUGCCCGGUCAGCGGAGAUCCGAGGGAAAGCUGGAGCCGAGCGCCGCGCCACCGCCGAGGCUCCAACCUUCUUCUAGUCAUCCAGAUCCUCCACAGGCAGAUGGGCACUGCACCAUGGGACCUCCAGGAAAUACAGGGGUGAAACCUGCAAUGUCUGUCCUGGACACAAGUGCAUUGCUGCUUUUUGGAAGACUCACAACCUGCAUGAAUUGUAAGGGCAAGGCAAGAGAUACCAAGCUGGCACAAUAGCCUUGCGCACUGCCAGAUUUUAGCCAUUUUCUUUGAAGCAGGCAAUGCCAAACCUUACCUCAGUCUCCAUUUUCAAACACAGGCACAAAAAUAUACUUUUUACCUCCCUUCAGAAACUACUGGAGCUGUUAAACCUUGUCUGAAACCAUCCAGGUGAAACGGAUGUUCACACAGACUAAAAUGUAGACAUCUCUGAAACAAAUGAGGAAAAAAAGUCCAUUAAAAUUCUAUACUUUGUUCUUUUUCCAUUU